rnacentral:rRNA from 1 species
UACGUAGGGUGCAAGCGUUAAUCGGAAUAGCUAGGCGUAACGUGCGCAGGCGGUGAUGUAAGACAGAUGUGAAAUCCCGGGCUCAACCUGGGAACUGACAUUUGUGACUGCGAUCGCUGGAGUGCGGCAGAGGGGGAUGGAAUCCGCGUGUAGCAGUGAAAUGCGUAGAUAUGCGGAGGAACACCGGAUGGCGAAGGCAAUCCCCGUGGGC